GUAGGCAUUGAGGCUGAGCCAGGCGUUGUGCGGCUGAUGGAAUGGAUGUUGAAUGCCUGAGUCGUGUGUCAUCGUGCGUUCUCCGUGGGGCAGGCUACCCACCCGUUGUCGGCUGAGUUUUCCGUCCAUCUGUCCCUUCAUCUCUGCCUGUGCUUCCAAGAUGUUCCGUGUGAGAAGGUUGAGGGAAGGUCGAUGUCCCCGCUGGCUGUUGGCUGUGACGGAAGAGGCCAGGACUCCUGUGGGCAGCUGUUGGAGGGAGCCGUGGUGGACCGGUGGAGGUGGUGGU